rnacentral:lncRNA from 7 species
AUCUUGUUGGAAAUCCCUGUCUACUGUAGGUUUCCUGUAGAAAAGAGCUCGAUGGCAUGAGCUGUGUGAGAAGAGAUUACUUCCUCUGGUUGAAGUGUAGACCUCCUGCAUGUAGAUUAUUCCCAAGAAGAGAAGCUCAGUAUUCAUUGGCAGCUCCUCAAAAUGCCUGCAGUAACAUGAAGCAGUCACAGAUGUGCAUUUUCCCUUUAAUGAGAGCUCCAGCCAAAGACCUUUGUGCUGCUCCAGUGUUAAAUAUUGACUCCUCAUCUCACCACUUGGAGACAGAUGUAAGGAAGGCCAUGCCAAUGAUGAUGCAGAAAGAUAUUUCAGAGACUGCAGUAGUGAGGCAGCUACCCAAGAUGCACUGUGGUAGGCCUCAAGCUCUUAUGAGAGCUUAGCAGGAAUUCUGGUUCAGCAGUAAUGUGAAAAACAGGUACAAGAUAUCUCAAGUUAAAUAGAAAAACUAAAGUGAAUACUUGAUUUGCUGUAAACUGUGGUUGUAAGUAACUUGCCCAAAGUCAUGUCAAGACUGUGCUGUGCAGCUAGGGACAGAAUCCUGCCUGGCUUUUAUCAGACAUGAAAGUUAUUUACAAAGUCAAAUCUAGCCUUUUGGAAUAGGAUCUUGCUGGAGAGCCACAGUUCUUAUGAGCACUUACUGAAGGAAUUACAUGCAAAAAGAUUUUUGUUUUUCUCAAUUAUCCCUGGGUCUGGUGACCAUACUUUAAAAUGUUCUCAGUCUUCCCAUCCAUGAAACAGUUGCAAAGGGGUGUAAAGAUUUUUCCCUCCAUUCUUUUUCAGAAGAAAGGCAUUUGUUAAAUAAAGGGCAAUCCAUGCCAGCAUACCAUGGCUUUAAUUAAUCUGUGACCAAAAUAAAUUAAAAAAAAAAAUGCAGGAUGUGUGGAUGAUCACUAGAAAAAAUACUCUGUGCACUUAAAGGGAUUUUUGAAUUGCCCAGUGCUCAUGCAUGUGAAGGAUGGAAAAUGGUUAAGAGAAAUUGAGAAGGUCUCAGGAGACUAACAGCAGGGAAAUACCACUAAUGCAUCAGAAGAAACUGUGUGUUUUCAAGGAUGUGCUGUACUAUGCCCAGGCCUUUAGUACUUAAAUUCUGUGAUUGUGUGCCUACAUUCUAGACAGGCUGAGCUUCUUUAAAUGAGAUGCAUUUGAAAUAUUAAAUACACUG